rnacentral:rRNA from 1 species
AUGAACGCUAGCUACAGGCUUAACACAUGCAAGUCGAGGGGCAGCAUGGUCUUAGCUUGCUAAGGCCGAUGGCGACCGGCGCACGGGUGAGUAACACGUAUCCAACCUGCCGUCUACUCUUGGACAGCCUUCUGAAAGGAAGAUUAAUACAAGAUGGCAUCAUGAGUCCGCAUGUUCACAUGAUUAAAGGUAUUCCGGUAGACGAUGGGGAUGCGUUCCAUUAGAUAGUAGGCGGGGUAAUGGCCCACCUAGUCUUCGAUGGAUAGGGGUUCUGAGAGGAAGGUCCCCCACAUUGGAACUGAGACACGGUCCAAACUCCUACGGGAGGCAGCAGUGAGGAAUAUUGGUCAAUGGGCGAGAGCCUGAACCAGCCAAGUAGCGUGAAGGAUGACUGCCCUAUGGGUUGUAAACUUCUUUUAUAAAGGAAUAAAGUCGGGUAUGCAUACCCGUUUGCAUGUACUUUAUGAAUAAGGAUCGGCUAACUCCGUGCCAGCAGCCGCGGUAAUACGGAGGAUCCGAGCGUUAUCCGGAUUUAUUGGGUUUAAAGGGAGCGUAGAUGGAUGUUUAAGUCAGUUGUGAAAGUUUGCGGCUCAACCGUAAAAUUGCAGUUGAUACUGGAUAUCUUGAGUGCAGUUGAGGCAGGCGGAAUUCGUGGUGUAGCGGUGAAAUGCUUAGAUAUCACGAAGAACUCCGAUUGCGAAGGCAGCCUGCUAAGCUGCAACUGACAUUGAGGCUCGAAAGUGUGGGUAUCAAACAGGAUUAGAUACCCUGGUAGUCCACACGGUAAACGAUGAAUACUCGCUGUUUGCGAUAUACUGCAAGCGGCCAAGCGAAAGCGUUAAGUAUUCCACCUGGGGAGUACGCCGGCAACGGUGAAACUCAAAGGAAUUGACGGGGGCCCGCACAAGCGGAGGAACAUGUGGUUUAAUUCGAUGAUACGCGAGGAACCUUACCCGGGCUUAAAUUGCAGAUGAAUUACGGUGAAAGCCGUAAGCCGCAAGGCAUCUGUGAAGGUGCUGCAUGGUUGUCGUCAGCUCGUGCCGUGAGGUGUCGGCUUAAGUGCCAUAACGAGCGCAACCCUUGUUGUCAGUUACUAACAGGUUCCGCUGAGGACUCUGACAAGACUGCCAUCGUAAGAUGUGAGGAAGGUGGGGAUGACGUCAAAUCAGCACGGCCCUUACGUCCGGGGCUACACACGUGUUACAAUGGGGGGUACAGAGGGCCGCUACCACGCGAGUGGAUGCCAAUCCCAAAAACCUCUCUCAGUUCGGACUGGAGUCUGCAACCCGACUCCACGAAGCUGGAUUCGCUAGUAAUCGCGCAUCAGCCACGGUGCGGUGAAUACGUUCCCGGGCCUUGUACACACCGCCCGUCAAGCCAUGGGAGCCGGGGGUACCUGAAGUGCGUAACCGCGAGGAGCGCCCUAGGGUAAAACUGGUGACUGGGGCU